rnacentral:rRNA from 1 species
CGGACGGGUGAGUAACGCGUGGGGAACCUGCCCUGUACAGGGGGAUAACACUUAGAAAUAGGUGCUAAUACCGCAUAAGCGCACAGUAUCGCAUGAUACAGUGUGAAAAACUCCGGUGGUACAGGAUGGACCCGCGUCUGAUUAGCUGGUUGGCGGGGUAACGGCCCACCAAGGCGACGAUCAGUAGCCGGCCUGAGAGGGUGGACGGCCACAUUGGGACUGAGACACGGCCCAAACUCCUACGGGAGGCAGCAG